CCCCCCCCCCCUGGUCCCUCCGUCCUCCCCCUCUCUGGCUGGUGCGUGUUAGAGUAGACGUUGAACAUUUUCCAGAAAGCGAAUUACUUCAGUGGGCGGUUUAGUCGUGCAGCUGUCCACCGAGUCAAAACACCUACUGCCCUAGUUUUCUUUUUUCGGCAAACACGAGCCUGGACUGUGACCAGGAAACCUCAGCAUGACUUGCACAAAUGGAAGUCCGCCAGUAUCAAUGGCUCAAAGGGAUGCGAGACAAUAACAAUGCGGGAAGCCGCAGGCAGCAGGACGCGAUUGUUUCUCUGCAGAUGCAGCGCGCUGAAUGCGUGCUGAUGCCAUCGCCGCACAAUGUGGGAACAUUAAAAGGUUUGUUGCUGCAACACGACCGUCUCGCUCACUCGCUGUCCCCGUCUCGCUCACUCGCUGUCCCCGUCCCCCAUUCAAUGGUGGUGUUAAAAUGCCUCGUUAAGCCACGGCUGCAUUGUUAACAUUCGCGUGGCUUGCCUAUAAAGCCAGACGUAUGCAGUUAUGUGGUUGAACAUGAAACAUAACUGACAAGCACGCCGUCUCAUAGGUCAGUAUAGAGUUCACAUAGAAGAGUGCAGCAGCCAUUGAUUGAGUAUUCUAGUGAUUAAUUUAUUGAUUGUAUUGUCUUUGUGCUUAGAGCUAGUGUUAAAACAGGUCAUAAUUAUCUUUUACCUGUUAACAGUUGUUUUUUUAAAUAACAGCUCUUUCGAGCAUCUUGGUGAGAUAAAGUUCUAAUUCAUCAUGGACGUGCCUGCUUUCAGAAGGAAGUUGACCGUUGACCUAGAUCUCAAAGCCUUAGAGAUUAAGUCUACUGCAGGAAGUCAUGUGGUGUUGGUGGUCCUCUGAGUGAAUGCUCGAGGCUCGUGCAGUACCUGCAUGCCAUCUCCUUCCUGCCUAUUGUUUAACCAUCACCCAGUAAACAAUGCAUGUAAUUACCAAUGAGUCAGUCGGAGAACGGGCCCACUCAUCGCCCGAGUACGAGCCAACCUUCCACCAGUCCUUUCUUAAGGCCCCUUUGUUUACUGUGGGACAACGACCAGUACGUGACGAGAACAGCGGGACGAAAACAACAAUAGUCUGUGGACGAGAGGACGAGUAUUCCAUUAUAUUCAACUGAUAUUAAUGUAAAUGAAGACCAUUGGUUGGAUGUGACGCACUGCAUGUUUCCUAUAUGUAAAACGAGCGGGCGCCUGAUCAGGUCCUGAGAACGCUAGAACCCACGAGUCACUUUUAAAGCCACGAUGGCGUCGAAGCUGAAGGCACGGAUAAGCUCCACACCUCACAUACCUCGGUAGGUGGAGUUGAGACGGUGACGUUCCUCGGGGCCAACAGGCCAACCACUGCUGCCGGAGGGGUUGAGCUGAAACGUCUCCCGGUGUGGCCCCCCAAAAACCACAGCCCAUCCGGCCCCCUGGCAUGUUCACAGCGUCAUUAGCAAUGAGCUAUCGCAGCAGCCGCUUACAUCUGGUGCACUGACUUCAACAACGAUGCCUUGGAGUUGUACACAAAAAUCAAUAGUGGUGUGUUGAGUACGUGGCUGCGUCUGUCGGUCUGAGUCAGUGUAGUUGGGCGGCGAGGCCGCGUGUGGGUGCGAAACGUAAGCUGUGGCGUUUAGCCCAACGGCCGUUGGCGCCGACGUGCUCGAGCUACAGAGCGGUGAAGCCCCGCCCCCAAUGCCGUUCAUUCAAAGUUUAUUAAUACUGAAUGUGCCGCGUGUCCAAAUUGCAGCGACUCGGACGCGGCCCUCCCCCGGGCGAGCACGUGUUUAUCUGUGUUUACUAUGCCGAGACUGUCUGAGCAGCAUGUGGCCGGGAUCCAAGUCUUCGGUUUCAACCAUUCGCAGCAGUAGAGGUGAAGGAUUAAGAAAGUAUUUCAAACUUUUUGAUUGUUUUGUUUAAAAUAUGUAAUUGCAGUCUGUUGUGUGACUCCGUGCUGCAGAAUGAGAGGAACCUCAUCAUGAGCUGGUGGCUGUUAUAGAGACGAAGCGAUUUUAAGAACUGCGACUGAAGGAUUUUUAUCUCCAUAUUUAUUUGGUGACUCGGCCCCGUCUCUCACCUCUGGCAACGAGAAAGUAUCGGUGACUGAUCCAAUUACCCGGUUAGCGCGAUGGCUCUCGCACACAAUUACGCCGAGCUUGUAGAGCACAAACACGCGGGGCUGUAGAUACUGUGUCUCUUGUCUUUUUGUCUUUUUUGUGUAUUAA